AUGCCCCUGCAAUGUGCGUGAUUGCAUGAUGAUCUUUGCCCUAACAUAAAUAGAAAAGGGAAUUCACUCUGAUACUGGUGUGCAUGUUCCAGAUUAAUGGAAAAGUCUAAAGGUAUUAUUGAAUGCCCACUUAUUGAACCCAUGGUUCAAAGAUUUAUUCAACACGGCAUAUGUGGGGGGAAA
rnacentral:other from 1 species